rnacentral:misc_RNA from 1 species
CAUAUAGGUAGAGGGAGGGACUUGAAAAUGGUGCAAAGACCAUGGAUCCCUUCUUCACUUGCCCACCUUUAGUUGAAGGUUGCUCAUCCCUACAUGCAAUUUUUCUAUAUCACCUUUUUUCAUCUCAAUCUGUGCAGAAGUUCUGAGAUUGAGCCAAGGGUGUUGCAGGCACUGCUGAGCAGUGGGCCGCUUCUCUGGUAUAAAAUCGAGAAGGGGACAAAGAAAUUCUGCAAACUCCCGAGCUUCAUUCUCGGAAAAUUUGUAUUUAUCAACCAACAAGCGAUCAAGUGGCCAAAACUUCAGCCUUCGAAUCCUCUUUAGAUCUCCAUACCUAUCGAAGAAAUCCUUGGAUCGCGCUCCUCCUACGGCUAUCUUUCGGGGCAUCUUUCCAAGGAGUUCCAUCAUUAGAGCAAGGUGAUCCUCAUCCUCACUAAAACCCUGUCCACCCUUGGGAGCAAACAUCAUGUCACCUGUAGCAAGCUCAAAAGCAGUGCAAGCAAAUGACCACAUAUCAACAGAGAAGGAAUAUCCAGACCGCAGAAUGACUUCAGGAGCUCUAUACUGCCUCGUUUGAAUUUCUUCUGCAAACUGCUUAUCAGCCCAGCAUGCAUUUCCAAAAUCAACAACCUUGCACCUGACAUCAACCCCAUCCAAGCAUUUCUUUGGUUUUUCCGUAGCUCCUCCCAUUGAAGCUCUUCUUUCUG